UCUUUCGUCUGCACCUGAAGACAUCGCGUGUUCAUUCCUGUUUUUUGUGUUGUUGUUUUUUGUGUUUCAGAUGCGUUUGUGAACAGUCAGGAGUGGACGCUAAGCCGAACGGUACCAGAACUCAAAGUGGGCAUUGUGGGUAAUCUGGCCAGCGGUAAGUCGGCGCUGGUCCAUCGCUACCUGACAGGAACCUACGUCCAGGAGGAGUCGCCUGAAGCUGACGUGGAUGCAGGCGGUCGCUUUAAGAAGGAGAUGGUGGUGGACGGUCAGAGUCACCUGCUGCUGAUCAGAGAUGAAGGAGGCCCCCCAGAGGCUCAGUUUGCGUUGUGGGUGGACGCCGUCAUCUUCGUCUUCAGUCUGGAGGACGAGCUCAGCUUCCAGACGGUUUAUCACUACUUCAGCCGCCUGGCCAGCUUCAGGAACACGGCAGAGCUGCCGCUGGUGCUGGUC